ACAAGUAGUCAGAGCCCGUUAAUGGGUGAUGGCGUGCCUUUUGUAGAAUGAACCGGCGAGUUACGAUUUGAUGCAAGGUUAAGCAGUAAAUGUGGAGCCGUAGCGAAAGCGAGUCUGAAUAGGGCGUUUAGUAUUUGGUCGUAGACCCGAAACCAGGUGAUCUACCCUUGGUCAGGUUGAAGUUCAGGUAACACUGAAUGGAGGACCGAACCGACUUACGUUGAAAAGUGAGCGGAUGAACUGAGGGUAGCGGAGAAAUUCCAAUCGAACCUGGAGAUAGCUGGUUCUCUCCGAAAUAGCUUUAGGGCUAGCCUCAAGUGAUGAUUAUUGGAGGUAGAGCACUGUUUGGACGAGGGGCCCCUCUCGGGUUACCGAAUUCAGACAAACUCCGAAUGCCAAUUAAUUUAACUUGGGAGUCAGAACAUGGGUGAUAAGGUCCGUGUUCGAAAGGGAAACAGCCCAGACCACCAGCUAAGGUCCCAAAAUAUAUGUUAAGUGGAAAAGGAUGUGGCGUUGCCCAGACAACUAGGAUGUUGGCUUAGAAGCAGCCAUCAUUUAAAGAGUGCGUAAUAGCUCACUAGUCGAGU
rnacentral:rRNA from 1 species